rnacentral:rRNA from 1 species
UCUAAGUAUAACCUGCCAGACAGGGAAACUGCGUACGGCUCAUUACACCAGCCUUAAUUUACUUGACCUUGACAACCUACUUGGAUAACUGUGGUAAUUCUAGAGGUAAUACAUGCACCAAAGCUCCGAUCCUCGCGGAGAGGAGCGCAUUUGUUCGCCACAAAACCAAGCGCCCAUCUGGGCGUCCAGUGCUGAACCAGAACAACUCAGCUGAUCGCACGGUCUUGUACCGGCGACGUGUCUUUCAAGUGUCUGCCUUAUCAACUUUCGAUGGUAGUGUACCUGACUACCAUGGUUGUGACGGGUAACGGAGGAUAAGGGUUCGACUCCGGAGAAGGGGCCUGAGAAAUGGCCACUACGUCUAAGGAUGGCAGCAGGCGCGCAAAUUACCCACUUUCAACGCGAGGAGGUAGUGACG